GAUGAACGCUAGCUACAGGCUUAACACAUGCAAGUCGAGGGGCAGCAUGGUCUUAGCUUGCUAAGGCCGAUGGCGACCGGCGCACGGGUGAGUAACACGUAUCCAACCUGCCGUCUACUCUUGGACAGCCUUCUGAAAGGAAGAUUAAUACAAGAUGGCAUCAUGAGUCCGCAUGUUCACAUGAUUAAAGGUAUUCCGGUAGACGAUGGGGAUGCGUUCCAUUAGAUAGUAGGCGGGGUAACGGCCCACCUAGUCUUCGAUGGAUAGGGGUUCUGAGAGGAAGGUCCCCCACAUUGGAACUGAGACACGGUCCAAACUCCUACGGGAGGCAGCAGUGAGGAAUAUUGGUCAAUGGGCGAGAGCCUGAACCAGCCAAGUAGCGUGAAGGAUGACUGCCCUCUGGGUUGUAAACUUCUUUUAUAAAGGAAUAAAGUCGGGUAUGGAUACCCGUUUGCAUGUACUUUAUGAAUAAGGAUCGGCUAACUCCGUG
rnacentral:rRNA from 1 species